CAAGUUUUUCAGCAGCAACCUGAAAACUUUCAAGUUAUUCUACAUCCAGUCCACUUGGUGUCAGCAUUAAGUUCAAGACAACUUACAACAACACAAACUGGCAAAAAAGUGACUUCCAGUCAUAUGAAAAUGUACAAUUUCGAAGGAGUCGUGCAUCCAAACAACACCCAACCAUCACCGGGGAUGAGCUAUUCAUACUAAAUGCACAAAUGAGAUCAUGCAAAUUCCUACGGAGUAGCCACUGACUCAUUUCAGGCUUUUGCUCUCACACUACAAACGUACCGCACCAAAGCCCAACCGAACCAAACAGCACUGGGACACCUCUUCCUACUGGGCCAGGGCCAGCCAACUCGAUUCUCACUAUGAGUGUGAGGAGAAACAACUGCAGCUUGGAGCGGAAAGAACAUUGGCAGACCAUGACCAUAGAAAAAAGGAAAGAAAAGGAAACCACUACAGAGUCAAUAGAUCCCUGUAAAGAUGUAAUCUGUGCUCAUAUAAGCAGUAUGGCAUGACAGAUGUUGACCACAGAAGACCUUUCCUGGAAGGGUAGUCAUUCCAAGCAAGACAGAAAACUAAGUGGACAAAAGUAUUAAAUUAAAACAGAAAGAUACAAUGUCAUGUUGCACUAAAUGAUUUAACACUCCACUAUGUAAACCCACAAAGUAGGAAUAAGGAUUUUAAAGUAAAAAUCAAGCAAAAAUGUCCAAAUAAGAGUGACAUUGUAACAUUGUGAAAAAAUUAUUG